UUUCCUUUUAUGGAGUUGUUUUUCUGCUAAUGCAGCACUUUCCUCACAACCCCCUCCUGUAAGUUUUAGAGAAUAUAUACCCAUCCUCACAGCAAAUAUUUGGAAUCUUUUGAUGUGAGCUGUUUUGAGAGGUUGUCUCUGUCUCAAUAAAAGUUCACUGAUUCCCCAUCUGCAGCAGGUGUCCGGUUGUCUUCAUUCUCCGCCAGCCUGGAUCCGCUCCAGGUCAAACUGGAACGGGAGGGAGGACAUCGGCCGUGGUCUGAGUGAACGGAGUUUGGACAAAAGCUGUGUACACACAAAAAACAAGGUAAGCAGACCUUUUAUUUCUGCUAUAUUGAACAUUAUAAAAAUACUUAGUGUCCAAACUCCUAGUAAUUCAUAACCAAAAUUGUCUGGCUUACUUAAGGCUUGUUGAGAAUCAGACAAGUGAAUAAGAGAUAAGUGAAUAAGAAAUAAGUGAAUAAGUGAAUAAAGAUAAGAGUGAACUGAGGUCUGACCACGGUUGCAGCCGACGGGUUUGCUCUCCGGUGUCGGAUAAAUACCUCAGUGCAGGUCUGGGACCUUGAAAGGGUUUAUUAGUAACGCCUUUCUAAACAAAUUAAAAGGUUAAAGGCCUUGAGAAUAUUUUUUAGUAAUAUUCUCUAAACUACAGAAGGGUUAGGAAGGCCCAGAGGACUUUAUUAGAAAAGAUCCUCUAAAACUUAAAAAAGAGAAGUACUGGUUGGAGUCCAAAGGACGGGUCCCUUUGAUCAAUAGGAGAAAACGGAUCUCUUCUUAAAACCCCGAUGAUUUUAGUGUUUUAAAUGUUUUGAUGUUCUGUUUGAUAUUGGACACACAUAAAUACACGCUGAAUGCUUGCUGUGGAACACUGGGCAGGACAGUUUGGUUCUCCGUUGUUCACAGAUUACACAAUUAAAGGAACUAGGUUCCUCUUUUGGUUAAAAUAAUACACCACACAUAGAAUUUUUUUACACAUUUAUUACAUACAUAAGGAGGGUAAUGAGUGACUGCAGGUAAUGUAUGAAGUGUGAAUGAGACGUGUGAACAAGGUGACAACCAACUAGCACCCCUAUCAGGAAGCUCUAGGCAAGGUUACCCGCCAGACUCCGGUUUGGUAGAAGCUUGGUAACACCUGAAGGGAUAUUUCAGUGCUGACUCACCUUUAAAGCAGCGCCCCAGCUGAUUAGUGCCUAACAGAGGCAGAAACCCAGCUGGCCCAAAUUCUCCUUUAAAAUCAAUAAAAGAACACUCCUCCAUUGACAGUAAAAUGGAUGGAGAAUUAGAUCGAGAAACUAAUGAUGAUGGUUGGGGUCCCGGUGUUAUUCUUAGCACAUUGGGAGAACAAUUAACAUGUGUUGAGACAGUUAUCAACUCCACACACCAGCCUAAAGAAGCAAAAAAGCAGAAAGAGUCAUUGAGGAAAACAGCUGAAAGAUGCUUUUAAAUUAGUCAAAAAUUUAGCAACACCAGCAGAGAAAUAGAGAAGUGAGAUAAAGUUGUUCUGGCAUAUGGUGUUUUCUUAGGAAUUCGAGCGCUAUCGGGAGGGCGUUCCCGAGGUGUGUAUUGAUCAGCAAGGCUAGGCCUGGGCUAUAGGUGCUUUUAAAUUAGUCAAAAAGUUAGGGGUAACCUCUUCUGGCAUAUGUCCAUGCGGGCCCGUGUGUAAAUAGAACAUAAAUUACCGGUGUGUGUAAAUAAAGUGUAAAAUAGUGGUAUAAACUGUCUGUUGAAUCACUCCUGAGUGUUGAAAAAAGGAAAAACUCUUUUCUGCUCUCUCUGAGAGAGGGGCUGUGUGUGUGAGACAGGAAGUGUGCAUGCCCAUAGAAGGAAAGAGAUGAGGUAAACUCUGUGCAGAUAGACCGAAGUAAAAAAAAAAAAAAAAAAAAGGAAAAGGGUCUCUCUCUGUCUCUGUGAGAGAAAAAAGGUGGGGGCCGAGUGAGCCCGCGGGGCCGAGCGGGUCCGCGGGAGCGAGCGUGUAUGCUGUAUGAGGAAGAAGGGGGUGAGAGGGAGCGAGUGAAAAGAGUAAUCGAGUAUUUGGUGAUUUUUUAUUAUUUCAGAGGCACUGGGUAAGAGUUUUGACUUUAGCUAUGAGAGUUGUGAAAAGAGCAGGUUUUUCUUUUGUUGUAGACUGUGAGUAAUCGGUGUUUUUCUGCCUAUUGUGCUGCGUGGAAGACACAGAAGUGUAGAAAUGUUUGUG